rnacentral:snRNA from 2 species
CCAGCUAAGAUCAAGUGUAGUAUCUACUCUUUGAUAAGUUCUCAAUGAGAGUACUUCAUAUUAAAUGAAUUUUUGAACUCUGUAGUUGGAUUUGGAGCUUGUUCCCUCCACUCUGUGCAUUGUCCUGAUACUGUGGACAUAGCACUGAAAGACAU